CACGGCUGGUGGCGUUCAUCCUGUUAACGGGCUGUGCGCUAUCGUCUUGAUAAAGACAUACAGAUACCUGGCCCGCCGCAAGCGGGCUUUUUUUU
rfam:Pluralibacter gergoviae strain JS81F13 contig_3, whole genome shotgun sequence.